rnacentral:tRNA from 1 species
UCGGGGAUGGGCUAAUGGUACGCCACCUGGCUUUGAACCAGGUGAUGGGGGUUCGAUUCCCUCUCCCCGAG